rnacentral:rRNA from 1 species
UACGGGGGGGGCAAGCGUUGUUCGGAAUUACUGGGCGUAAAGGGCUUGUAGGUGGCCAACUAAGUCAACCGUGAAAUCCCUCGGCUUAACCGGGGAACUGCGUUUGAUACUGGAUGGCUUGAGUUUGGGAGAGGGAUGCGGAAUUCCAGGUGUAGCGGUGAAAUGCGUAGAUAUCUGGAGGAACACCGGUGGCGAAGGCGGCAUCCUGGACCAAUACUGACGCUGAGGAGCGAAAGCUAGGGGAGCAAACGGG